rnacentral:rRNA from 1 species
CAGCAGCCGCGGUAAAACGUAGGUGGCAAGCGUUGUCCGGAAUUAUUGGGCGUAAAGGGCUCGCAGGCGGUUUCUUAAGUCUGAUGUGAGAGCCCCCGGCUCAACCGGGGAGGGUCAUUGGAAACUGGGAAACUUGAGUGCAGAAGAGGAGAGUGGAAUUCCACGUGUAGCGGUGAAAUGCGUAGAGAUGUGGAGGAACACCAGUGGCGAAGGCGACUCUCUGGUCUGUAACUGACGCUGAGGAGCGAAAGCGUGGGGAGCGAACAGGAUUAGAUACCCCAGUAGUCCCUGUCUCUUAACA